AACGAACGCUGGCGGCAUGCCUAACACAUGCAAGUCGAACGAGACCUUCGGGUCUAGUGGCGCACGGGUGCGUAACGCGUGGGAACCUGCCUUUAGGUUCGGAAUAACUCAGAGAAAUUUGAGCUAAUACCGGACGAUGUCUUCGGACCAAAGAUUUAUCGCCUUUAGAUGGGCCCGCGUUGGAUUAGCUAGUUGGUGGGGUAAAGGCCUACCAAGGCGACGAUCCAUAGCUGGUCUGAGAGGAUGAUCAGCCACACUGGGACUGAGACACGGCCCAGACUCCUACGGGAGGCAGCAGUGGGGAAUAUAGGACAAUGGGCGAAAGCCUGAUCCAGCAAUGCCGCGUGAGUGAUGAAGGCCUGAGGGUAGUAAAGCUCUUUUACCCGAGAUGAUAAUGACAGUAUCGGGAGAAUAAGCACCGGCUAACUCCGUG
rnacentral:rRNA from 1 species